AAAUGAAUAGACGGGGACCCGCACAAGCAGCGGAGCAUGUGGUUUAAUUCGAAGCAACGCGAAGAACCUUACCAGGGCUUGACAUCCCUCUGACCGGCUGAUAACGCAGCCUUCCCUUCGGGGCAGAGGAGACAGGUGGUGCAUGGUUGUCGUCAGCUCGUGUCGUGAGAUGUUGGGUUAAGUCCCGCAACGAGCGCAACCCUUGUCAUUAGUUGCCAUCAGGUUAAGCUGGGCACUCUAAUGAGACCGCCGGGGAUAACUCGGAGGAAGGUGGGGACGACGUCAAAUCAUCAUGCCCCUUAUGUUCUGGGCUACACACGUGCUACAAUGGUCGGUACAGAGAGAUGCAAACUCGCGAGUGGGAGCAAAACUCUAAAACCGAUCUCAGUUCGGAUUGCAGGCUGAAACCCGCCUGCAUGAAGCAGGAGUUGCUAGUAAUCGCGAAUCAGAAUGUCGCGGUGAAUGCGUUCCCGGGUCUUGUACACACCGCCCGU
rnacentral:rRNA from 1 species